AAAAUUGAAUUUGUCUCCAUUUUUAUGUGCCAGACAAUGUAGACUUGGGCAUAGCUUGUGGAAAAUAUUUCCGGGUAUGCUGCCUUAGCAUCAUUGACCCAGGUGAUUCGGAUAUCAUUAAGAACAUGCCUGGUGACUCUUAGGUUGUCGACGUCCUGAUGCCAUGAGAUUUUGGUCUAGCAUUCGUAGAUUUAUGGGUUUGGGCAAGGAGGGUGCCUCAUGAAAAAGGCACUCCGCUGUUGACAGGGAAAAUCUUAAAUAUCAAGCUAAUGUGAGAUGCAGCUACUGUAACCCAUCUUUAGUUGUUUCAUUUGGCAUUGUUCUAAGAAUUCAUUUUUCCAAUACUAUAAAGAAUUGAACCUUGUGCU